CGUUGCCUGCCUCCUGAUAUGUGGGUCAUUCGGCUUAUAUGGAAGGCCGUGCGAGGGGGCUAGAACUUCGCAAAUCUCAAAGCAAGGGUCAAUCGCAGAAAUGGUCCUUUUGGCCGCUGCUUGCCUCCUGAUGAUGUUUAGGACAAUCGCAGGAUCUGCCGUUCCGAUUGACCCAUCGGUACUCAAUGGGAGGUAAUCAGCAUCUAAGGAAAGGGGUAGAGGCACCUGUAGCAACAUUUCAAGGAAGAGAGAGUUUGUGAUUCGCCUCACUUACUCCGUACAUAGUUUAUCCCAUGUUCAGUCUUCUAAUUGUUUAUCUGUUCAUCGCGAAUUGUUUGGAGCACUGACUUGUAGAAACUUUACUGAAUUAUUCAACAUUAUAUAUAUAUAUGUAAAAUGAUGCAUAUUCUCCUAAAGUCCCCCUCCCCCAAUUAUGCUAA